UAAAUACACUUUGCCAGUGUAAAGACCAGCAUGGUAAGGAGGAGAAGAGGUGUAAUUUUUCUUCCAGUGGUAAUGCAGUUCGGUUCGUGCCGGGUCUAAGCAACUACAGCGACUUGCAGUCAUAACAAUGGGCGUUACGACAAAUGAGCAACAAAACAGCUAUGGAGAAUGAAACAGGUGUUGAUUUUAGAUUAAAGACGGGUUUUUAAACAUUAGAAGAAUGAAAAUGAACCAUGGAAGUGAUAAUCAUUUUCAAAGCUUUACGCUUGCACAACGUGAUUUUGGUGUUCUAGGUAUUGCGGACUAUAUUUAUUCACGGUGCACAAUCACGUGGUCUUUGACGUUACGCCGUAGGUAUCGCGCCAAGCAUUUUUGUCAACAAAGCGUCGAUUCAAGAAGAAAAUUCGUCUUAAAUAUUUUGUUACGAAAUUUUGUAAAAUGUAUUUGUAUGUUGCAAGUCCGUUUAUAAAUGCGUACCUCCAAUCACACAGCAUCUGCCCGUGUCUGCUUUAGUUUGGCUGGAAUACGGGACAAACUGACCAAAAUCUCAAAAUGCUCUUGCUGUCGCUCCAAGCUCAUUCCAGAACCGCAUUAAAACCCACUUUCUCUUGCUGAAGUCUUCAGAUGGCCAUUUUACUUUUGUACUUUUUGUCUCAAAACAGCCGCUGAUAGAUUAUUUUUCAUGUUAAAGGCGUUAUUUUCAGGUAAACCAAUGAUAAAAAGGUAUGCUAUUGUGGCAAGUUCUGGAAGAUGAAUGAUAUCGCAACAAGCUGAAAAAGUAUGCUAUAGCAGCUAGUUUUAAAAGAUAAAUGCUAUCGCAACAAGCUGAAGUAUUUACGAGGGACGACGGCGGCUUGAAAGAUUCAAACACAGUAUGGCUGAUGAAGCUAGCACAAACGUGUGCAGCCAGUGUGGCAAGGCUUUCCGUAAGAGGAGAAAUUUGCAUACGCGCGAGAAAAGUCACGCAGAUGUUUCCCCAUUACUUGCUGUGACGGGUUUCAAUUCUCGAUAGGCAUAGAUGCAGAAAGCAUGAUACAAGUUCAGACUUAAAGGCUUAAGAGAGGAGAGAGAACAAUCCUCGGGCUUUCAGUUGUGACAUUUGCGGCCAUCUUGUAGCAACCCGUCAAGAACCCACCGAGCACAUGCGCACUCAUGAAGACAAUCGAAGUCUGGCCUGUCCACAAUGUGGUGCAAUGUAUGAGCACAGUUCAUCCCUGAAUCGGCAUAUUAGGCAACGUCGCAGGAAUGUGUGCGUAAUUUAAUCCAGUGAAUACUUAGAAAAAUCGAUGUAAACAUGUUCUCGUCAAAAUAUCAGGCUUUCUGAUAGUUUUAUAUGAAAUGCGCGGGUUAAGUGUUGCGAUGACAAUCAACGUACAAUGCAAUGUGUGUCUUCGCUCAAACAAUUAAAAAAUAUGUAAUAUGUGUUUUAUUAAUAUUAUACAAUACUGUGUUGAUCUCGAUUUCUAGUAAAGCAUUUCUAGUCAUUUAGUCAAAUAGCAUUUUUGUCAUGAACACUCAUGCCUGUCCGAUAUAUUUUCGUUCUGAAGCGGCUUUCAUAGUUCGAUCAUUCUCAUAUCUGCAAAACCAUUCUUAGCUCGGCUUUUCGAAGAAAAAGUGAGCUAUUGCACUCGCCGUUGGUUAAAGUCAGAUAUCUCUAUUACUAUCAAGAAGCUUACUAUCGAAGUCUACACCAAGAGAAACAGUCCCCAUAGCUCUGAUUUGA
rnacentral:lncRNA from 1 species